CACGUAGGGGACGAGCGUUGUCCGGAUUUAUUGGGCGUAAAGAGCGUGUAGGCGGCUAGGUAGGUCCGUUGUGAAAACUCGAGGCUCAACCUCGAGACGUCGAUGGAAACCAUCUAGCUAGAGUCCGGAAGAGGAGAGUGGAAUUCCUGGUGUAGCGGUGAAAUGCGCAGAUAUCAGGAAGAACACCCGUGGCGAAGGCGGCUCUCUGGUACGUGACUGACGCUGAGACGCGAAAGCGUGGGGAGCGAACAGG
rnacentral:rRNA from 1 species